CAGGAUUUGAUAUUCCAAGAUAAAGCAGAAUACAGCACUAUAAUUACAGCACCUAAGAAAUAAGCCAGCUAAAGUAGUUUGGUGAAUCAGGAGACAAGAAUUAGAUGACCUCUGGGUUCCCAGGAACAAAUCCUGAACAGAAUGGAAACCAUUUGCAAUGAAGAACUUUCUGUAUGAAUCUAACUGCAAAAUGAAUGAAAAUAAUCAGCCCUUACUGUCAUGUAAUGAAAAAUGAAAGGACUAGUUGUGUACCUCAUGGAAACUUUUUAAGAAAAUGCCAGCUGAGAUGAUAAGUUACCAGUGCAGAAAUGUAGGAAAAGAUGUGUGACCCUAAGCUGUGCAAUUAAUCAAGCUAAUAAACUGUAAUUUUUUUUAUGAAGAAUAUCCCACUGGAGACUCCAUUCUUUUACUUAUUACUGGCCAGAUACAUUGAACUAUUCUGUUUGCUGUAAUAGUUUCAGUUUAAUUCCCAUCAGAUUGAAGAUCAUUUUUAUUACAAAAAGCAUAAUCCUUAGGCAGACAUUCACCACAGUCUAAUUCCCAUGUAAUGCGAAGGUGUAGCGAAGUCUAGAGCCCAACCAUCUGAAAACUGGUGUCACUGCCACUGGUGUCUCAACUUAUUAAUAUUACCUGUUGUCAAUAAGACAGCACAAAUCAUUCUUCAAAAUCACAACACUGACAUUAAGGUAUACUGUAGUGCCAGGAAUACAAAGCUGCCUCCCCCCUCCCUCACGUCCCUCCUACACUUUAACCCCUUAAGGACUGAGCCAAAUGUACAAGUUGUGAACAAAACAAAACGUAAACAAAACCUGGCAUUUGCGCUAUAUGUCUGUCCAACCGUAAUUCACCUCUUUCAUAUUAAAUGCA